AUACUUAACCUGGCAGGGGAGAUACUGUGAUCACAAAGGUGAUUUUCCCAGGGUCAGGCUUAUCCAUUGCACCCCGAAUGUGCUGACCCUGUGGUUUCUCCAAAUGUGGGAAACUCGACUGCAUAGUUUGUGGUAGUGGAGGACUGCGUUCAUGCUAAA